GAGCCAUGUGAUAAGCACAAAGCGAACUAUUCUUUCGCCUUUUACUAAAGAAUGCCGUGUGCUCGUCACUUAAUGUGGCAUACCUUUAUUUUUUGAGGGGCUCCUCUUAGUGAGGGCUC